ACCUGCCACCUAGUGGUUCCCCGAAGAAUUGCAACCUCCGGCUCAGGGCCAGAGGCCCCGGGGAUCUUGUUACCAUUCUGCAUUCUUAUCUGAUCUUCUUCAGAGGGCUUUAGCCCUGGAAGGCGCCUUAGAGAUCAUCUAAGCCAAUCUUCUCAGUUUACAGCUAAGGUGGUGCUGGGCAGGACACUGAAGCUGGGAGACCCGGUAGCUGCCCUCAAGAAGCUUCCUGAGAAGGACGAUGAGCAUGCAAACAGGCCAUCACAGAAAAUGAGUGCUCUGUGGGAGGUAAAGAUGAAGGGCCAGGAGAAGCUGUGGAGAAACUGUGAAGGCUUCCCCAAGAGGUGCUACUGGGGCUAACUUCGGGUCGAGGGGUUCCUCCAGCAGGUGGCCCAAUGAUCUUCACACUUGGUGGACACUCUUUGCAUGCCUCUUCCCCAGACGGCCCUGUCCUAUCCUCUGUCUUCCAGGCUUUCUCCCCAGAGUUUCCUGAUCAGCCUGGUCAACGCCUGGCCCUCCGCUCAUGAGUCCACGUGGACUCACAACGUGGCUGGCCAGGCGCCCUGCCAGAAUGUGGCUACAGCACAAGUGUACUGGGUGUAGCUUGCGCCCCUCCACGGAUCCAUCCGGAAACCCAGCUCAGGCUCUUAACUCAUUCGUUGCCAUUCCUGUGGGAUCCCCCAUACAGCCAGAGGUGCGAACAUCAGCGCGAUGUUCUGUGGGAUGUCUGGACAGCCUAGAUCUCUUCACGACGUCCUGACAGAGGGUGGAGAGUGAACAUGGUCCUGGGCAAAGCUCUGUGUGAAUCUUGUUGUCCAUCCCAUGGAAAUGCAAACUGUUUCUGCCCCUCUUUUCUGAUUAGAAUAGAAAAGAAUGCAUUUCCCAGAUCGUGGGCCACAUACUAUGUCCCUGCGGCCGUAUUAUGCUGCUCUCUCAAAGAUACCACAUCAGGGGUGCCCGGGUGGCUCAGUCAUUAAGCAUCU